UGGGGUGACUUGUCUGGUUAAUUCCGAUAACGAACGAGAUCCGAGCAGUUUUGUUGCUUGAAAUUAUAUGAUAUAAUUUUUAGUUCCUAAAUGGACCAUCAGAAUAAUCUGAAGGAAGUGACGGGCUAAAUCAGGUCUGUGAUGCCCUUCGAUACUCUGGGCGGCACGCGCGCUACAUUGGAUAAAAUAGUAUGACAUUACACUGUUAAGUGGUAUGAAUCAUGCAAUUUAUUUCGUAAAUGGGAUAGUUUUUUGCAAUUGACAGACUUGAACUAGGAAUCCCUUGUAGAUAUAUUGCAUCAUAAUAUNUCGAAUACGUCCCUGCCGUUUGUACACACCGCCCGUCGUUUCUUCCGACUGGUACUCAUUGUGAAUUGCGAGGAUUUAAAAUGAAUCGUUGUGAAUGCUGGGUACUGGAGGAAGAAAAAGUCGUAANCAACGGUUAUUCGUAG
rnacentral:rRNA from 1 species